GCCACUGAGUAUGUUGGUUGCAAAGGUGGUCGCCAAAUUGUGCAAAUGAUAAUUUUUGUAAUUAGUGGCUAAUUUGGUUGCUAUUUGUAACCAAUAUGUUUCGUCCACUAGUUUCCGUCGCUAAAACGCUUUUUUCUAGUAGUGGGUGCAGGCAUGAUGAAGUUCCUGAAGCACAGGAUUUCCGUCAAGGAGAAAAAAUCACACCUUUGGGUUGUUGUCCUUGGUCAGCCUUCACCAUAAGGCAAGUGGUACUUUUUUUAUGUUUUCUUUCCUUUUAUGUCUAAUUUUAUCACAAUACGUGCUCUUUUCCUAUAUGAUUUCCCUGAGAAACAAAUCGCACCUUUGGGUUGUUGUCGCUGGCCAUCCUCCACCAUAAGAGAAUCGUGGAUUGAAAGAAUAGGAAAAAGUUUCAAAAGAAUUUUUGGUAGGCUGUAAAGAUUGAUGUCAACGAAUAUUCUAUUUGAGCACAACCACAGAAUCGAAGGCUAGCAAGAAGAAGCAAAAAGAUAGUCAAAGCUCAAGGGAUUCAUCACGAAGGCAAGUGCUCCAGCGGAAGCUAUCAAUUCAAAGGGAAGACCGGGGGAGGGAGCAGCUCAUCCGUUAUGAAGCAUUUGAGUUUAUGUAAUUUUUUCUACAUUAUGGGUGGUUUUUACAAUAAGUUGGCAUGAUGAAUUGCAUUGCUUCUUUAGAUGAGAUAAAAAUGAAUUGACAUUAUGUUCUGUUCUUGUUUUCUUGUACGUAUCUUUUUUCUUUGUUUUAUUUGUUGGAGCUAAGAACUUUGACAUUAUUUGAUAUGGAUUAAUAGGAGCUGGGUAGAAUAGUCAUGACUAGUAUUUUUUUUUA